rnacentral:rRNA from 1 species
GACGUAGGGCGCGAGCGUUGUCCGGAAUUAUUGGGCGUAAAGAGCUCGUAGGCGGUUUGUCGCGUCUGCUGUGAAAACUCGGGGCUUAACCCCGGGCCUGCAGUGGGUACGGGCAGACUAGAGUGCGGUAGGGGAGACUGGAAUUCCUGGUGUAGCGGUGAAAUGCGCAGAUAUCAGGAGGAACACCGGUGGCGAAGGCGGGUCUCUGGGCCGUAACUGACGCUGAGGAGCGAAAGCGUGGGGAGCGAACAGG